rnacentral:rRNA from 1 species
UACGAAGGGGGCUAGCGUUGCUCGAAGAUCACUGGGCGUAAAGGGUGCGUAGGCGGGUUUUAAGUCAGGGGUGAAAUCCUGGAGCUCAACUCCAGAACUGCCUUUGAUACUGAGGAUCUUGAGUUCGGGAGAGGUGAGUGGAACUGCGAGUGUAGAGGUGAAAUUCGUAGAUAUUCGCAAGAACACCAGUGGCGAAGGCGGCUCACUGGCCCGAUACUGACGCUGAGGCACGAAAGCGUGGGGAGCAAAGCAGG